CACGGGGAGGUAGUGACGAAAAAUAACGAUACGGGACUCAUCCGAGGCCCCGUAAUCGGAAUGAGUACACUCUAAAUCCUUUAACGAGGAUCAAUUGGAGGGCCAGUCUGGUGCCAGCAGCCGCGGUAAUUCCAGCUCCAAUAGCGUAUAUUAAAGUUGUUGCGGUUAAAAAGCUCGUAGUCGAAUUUGUGUCCCGCGCCGCCGGUUCAUCGCUCGCGGUGUCCAACUGGCGUGUCCGCGGGACGUCCUGCCGGUGAGCUUAGCCCGCAAGGGCGGCUCAACUGUAAAUCCCAUCGCGGUGCUCUUCACUGAGUGUCGAGGUGGGCCGGCACGUUUACUUUGAACAAAUUAGAGUGCUUAAAGCAGGCUAAAACUUUGCCUGAAUACUGUGUGCAUGGAAUAAUGAAAUAGGACCUCGGUUCUAUUUUGUUGGUUUUAAGAACCCCGAGGUAAUGAUUAAUAGGAACGGAUGGGGGCAUUCGUAUUGCGACGUUAGAGGUGAAAUUCUUGGAUCGUCGCAAGACGGACAGAAGCGAAAGCAUUUGCCAAAAACGCUUUCAUUGAUCAAGAACGAAAGUUAGAGGUUCGAAGGCGAUCAGAUACCGCCCUAGUUCUAACCAUAAACGAUGCCAACCAGCGAUCCGUCAACGUUCCUCCGAUGACUUGACGGGCAGCUUCCGGGAAACCAAAGUUUUUGGGUUCCGGGGGAAGUAUGGUUGCAAAGCUGAAACUUAAAGGAAUUGACGGAAGGGCACCACCAGGAGUGGAGCCUGCGGCUUAAUUUGACUCAACACGGGAAACCUCACCAGGCCC
rnacentral:rRNA from 1 species